rnacentral:rRNA from 1 species
CAAUAGCGUAUAUUAAAGUUGUUGCGGUUAAAAAGCUCGUAGUUGGAUUUCUGCUGAGAACGACCGGUCCGCCCUCUGGGUGUGUAUCUGGCUCUUUCUUGGCAUCUUCUUGGUGAACGUUGCUGCACUUGACUGUGUGGAGCGCUACCCAGGACUUUUACUUUGAGGAAAUUAGAGUGUUUCAAGCAGGCAUACGCCUUGAAUACAUUAGCAUGGAAUAAUAAGAUAGGACCUCGGUUCUAUUUUGUUGGUUUCUAGAGCUGAGGUAAUGAUUAAUAGGGAUAGUUGGGGGCAUUCGUAUUUAACUGUCAGAGGUGAAAUUCUUGGGUUUGUUAAAGACGGACUACUGCGAAAGCAUUUGCCAAGGAUGUUUUCAUUGA